GGCGCCGAGUGUCUCCGUGUCCCUCUGCCCCAGCCGGCGGCCGCGAUGGUGGAGCUUGGCCUCUCGCUCUCUCCCGCCUCUCCAGCGACUGCUCUGCCGGCCGCGGAGGUCGGAUCGAGCGGUCAUUCAUUCAUUUGUUAAUUCGUUCACUUAUUCAGGGGAGAUCAUUGAACCCCUACGGAGUACCGGGUACUGGGCCGGGCGCUGAGGACGCGGGGCUGAGCAAAAGCAGCCGAGGCCCACCUUCGUGCCCCUUAAAACCCAGCGUGCGGGGCGGCAACGAGUACUGCUUUUCUGUUUUGCACUUAAAAUUUACAUUUUGCAUCCGUACUUUUUAUUUACUGUGCACCCUUACGGCAUGCUUUACGCACCCGUACCUGCACCUCCUAGCCUUGAGUGUAGACACCAGAUCCUGAGAUGGGCGAUUUUUCGAGAAUAAUUUUUACCCUAAGUGGAUUUUCGUGCCACGCAUGGACUUGGAACUACACACACGUAGUCCAAAACGUGAAAGUCAAAAUGCAGCUUUGCCAAGUGGCAGGGAGAAAGGAGAGCUGAGAAGAUGAGGAGAGGAAGGGCGCGCUCCAGGCUUUCCAGCCCGGGUGCGGUAGACGUAGCCCUGAAGGAUGAACCCAGGCUGGUAGUAGGGCGGCGGGAGGGCGGGGGGACCUGUCAGUCAAGUCCAAAGCAGAAACGCGGCGCCGGAUCCCAGUCAGAGGCCGGCUGGAACGCUUCCCACAGGCUCCUGGCGCUCCGGUCCCCACCAGGCGACCUUGAUCCUGGCGUGCUCAGCGGAGCCAGCGCAGCGUCGGGAGCUGGAGAGACGCGGGGCGCCGGCUGAGCGCUCCUGCCCUCUGCCUCUGGGCUAGCCUCUGGCCCGGCCUCCCGGCCUCCCCCAGGGUACGCUCUCCCCCAAGAGCGAACACCAGCUUUGGGAUCGCCAGCAGCCACGUCUCUGCUUCUAGAUCUCUUUUUUUUUUCUUUGAGACUUAGUUGAUAGCUGUUUAAGGAAUUAUGUGGAGGAAAUCUCACCUCCGACCCCCGCCCCCGUUGAGCACGGCCGGCCAGGGUCGCUGGGUGGGCCAGGAGGAAAGAAAGGGGCGGGGAAGAAGCAGCAAUUUUACUUUAAAUUAAAAUGACACAAAAAUAUUUUUUCAACUCAGAUCUUUCUGAGACAUCCCCAGAAAGCGUUGCAAGCUGUGAUUACACCUAAUGUGAGAGCAUGAACUAAUUUAAGAGGUGAGAGCUGCAUAAUGAGGCUGCCUCCCGUGUAGCAGCCAAGACUGGCAGCUCUGGCGGCGCGCUGGAGGGGACCGGGAGGGGCACCCUUGUAGAACCAGUCCCUGGCGCCCUGGGAUCUUCUCAGUGCCCUGGCGCUGUGUUGUCGGUCACUCCACAGAUAUUACAGGGUGCCUCCUGAAUGCCGGGUUGCAAUCAAGAGCAAGAGAUGGGGCGAGUGAAAGAGCCUGUUUUCAGGAGCUCAGCAUCAGGAUGACGAUUACCUAGAGGGAGGUGGUGGCCAGCCUCCCCCUCUUCUCUUCAUGCUGAGGCUCUGGUGGGCAGUGCCCAAGCCUGAACUGCCAUCUGUAUGCCAGUGGUUACCCAACUUGUAUUUUCAGUCUUAGCCUCUCUCUGGUCCAGACUUGUCAUUCUAAGGGCCCUUUUUCACUGACUCACAUUGUCUCCUCCCUCCCUGCCUUCCAAACUCAGCCUUUUCCUUUUUCCCUUUCCCACUGACAACAGCUGCACGACCCCCCCGCCCCCCCACGAGGUGAAAAUUCCCAAGAACCCCAUGUCUAACCUAACUCCCUCUCUAUGUCCUGUUGCUUGAGCCAUUCUCAUUAGGCUGCCUGUUCGGAGUUCAUUAUCUCCUAAUUUUUCAUCCAGGAAUUGAUGAAGAAUCACCUACUGCCUCUCCCACACACUGUUUAUUCUUUCAUUUGAUGAUAUCUGUUAAGUGCCCUGAGAUAUGUAACCUCCACUUCCCUCCCAUAUAAGUGAGAUUUCACGUUGAUUACUUCCUUGGCUUUCCUCAUCCCUUAUCCACAUAGCAUGUGUUCAAAAUAAUGAAUAUUAAUUUAAUGUUAAUAGAUAUGUGCUUUCCUGAAUUGUGAGGAUUAAAUGAAAUCAUGUAUAUAGGGAGGAAAAUCCAUUAGAAACCUCAAAAGCAGUUAUGUUUAUUUUUGCUAUUGUCACAUUGUUAGAGUCAGAAUUCUUUUAGCUGCAAGUGACAAAACCAACUCAAACUGGCUUAAGGACUUUAUUGGUUGAUGCAAAAAGCCUCGGGUUAGGUCUUGCCAUUUAAGGUAGGGCUGGAUCCAUCAAUCCGGGUUACCAGGAUCUGUUUUCUAGUUGUGGCUUCAUUUUCAGACAAGUUGUUUCCAUAUGAUAGCCUCAUAGAAGGUACUACCAGCUUAGUCCUAGCAAGAAAAAAGAGUACUUACUCUUCAAUAUUUGCAGCAGAAGUCCCAGGUCUGUUCUUAUGAGGGCAGUUUGAGUCACUUGCUCUUCUCUGAACGUGGAGAAGGCACUGUUUAGAUGAUGGAGGUUGGAUUCAGGUGCAUCCCCUGGAAUGGGGUUUGGCAUUAGCUUCACGUGGUCUAGAAUAAAGGGGUUCUCCAAAGGAAAAUUAGGGUAGGAAUGCUGAGUAAGCAGAACAAACAGAUGUCUACUUUAGUCCUUCCCAAAGGGUGAGCUGCAAUACAUUGCAGACUAUCAGAAUGGUGAUGAACACGGAUGCAGUAGCCAAGAAAAUAGAUGUGUGUUUGUCGUGGUCUUUUUCAGUCUUCAAGAUCUCAGUUAAACAUGAAGUCAACCACUCACUAUGAUGUUAUUUGAGGUUUAGCUUUGAAGUGGAAAUGUACCACAAAUAGUAGAGCCAGAUAAAUACAAAUAAAUAAUUUUAACAGUCCAUUCUAAAAGAUUUCUUUGGUAAUAUUCUGUUGGAAUUGAUUUCUAUCUUUUCAUUUGUUAGGUUCCUGGAAAGUGAAAAUUUCAUUUCUUUGUGGACAGCUCAGAGACCUAAUAGGAUGGGGUCUUAGAGAAACAUCUUUUGAGCCACAGACUUCUUUGUUACCAGAAGGAAAAUGAAAGAAGAAAUUUAAAUACCACUUGAAGAGAGCUGAUCGCCACCAACUGGCCUCUGGGUGGAUUUGGCCAAUGGAAGCACCUGUAGAGGGAAGAGAGUGAGGUUAGGAUAUUUCUUCCUGCUGUCUCCGUGCUUCCCUGCAGAGAGUGUGAAGAAAUGACCCUGAAAAGCCUCUGGCAGAGGAUUCUUCUUUCAGGAUGGUGUCGCCUCCUCAGCAGCCCAUCCUCCUCCCCUGGACUCAAGCUCUCAUUCCAGUAACACUCCUUCCUCCUUCUCCAUCUUCAGGGGGAGGUUUGCCAGUCGGUGGGUUCUAAGCAUAUCUCGCUGAUUCCCCCCAACCCUGCCGACACCUCUGUAGGUCGUCCCUUCAUUAAAAUCUCUCCAUUUGAACUAUCUGAGUUUAAUUCCAUUUCCUCCUGGUAUCUCAGUGAUACACGGUAUCAGUACAAAAAUCUCGCUUCACCUUCAGAACCAACAGAUUUGAGACAUUUUAUCCUCUGUGGAACCAUUAGUUAUUUUGUCAUUGGUUGUAUCAGAAAAAAAAAUCAGGAAUGCAAAUCCUUCUUUAUUACAGAUUCAGAUUUGCAUAUUACCAAUGUUAUAUAUUUUAAACAAAACUAUUCAUCAUAAGUUUUAAAAAUUAACUACUGGAGUAGUUAAUGAAUCUGAAUGUAAUUAUGUAGCUUUCAUAAUAUUAAAGUAAAAAUACUAAAAGAAGUAUUUCUUAAAGAAGCAAAUGCUCAAUCUCCAAGUAAAUUUUAUUCUAUGCUCUUCCGGUAUAAGAAUAUGUUAAUAUCUUGAAAAAUAUCAUAUUAUUUUGUGAACUCAUAAAGCUAUUUUGAGUUUUUGUAAAAUGAAAACCUUACCAAAAUGUAUUUUAUUGUUGGAAAGCUUGACCGUUACUGCUGUUUAAUUUUUUGAGCUUGUAAACUUUAUUUGUGCAUGUUUUCAACAAAGAAGGAUUUUAUUGUUAUUACAUAAAACAGGUGAUUUCUAGAUUUUAAAAUCACAAAUUGAAAGCAAGGCACAAUAAUAUAUAUUUCAAGAUAUAGGUACUUAGGAGGCAUCCUUUUAGUCAUCUGUUCAAUGUAGCCAUCUAUUUUACACCUACUGUCUACUAUUGUUUGAGGUCCUUGCCAAAGUAUUGCAGGCUAGUUAGGAAACAUAAAACAAUUAGAAAGUAAUCUAUGACAAGUAAGCUAUCUAUAAAUGGCAAUGAAGGGUAGAACAAAUUCAAUGAAAAUAUCUAUUUAAUCCUAGUGUUUACUGGUCUAGAAGAAUAGGCUGAGUAAAUUAGUAUUUCUCUGGCUGUUGUGGUAACACAUUGCAUGCUAUAACAGUUUUAAGUAAUUACAGGUGCAUUGAAAUUUAUCUAUGGCUUUGUCAUCAUAUUCUAAAAUGUCAUGAGUACUUUUUUCUGACCUCAAUUACUAUGAAAUUGGUUUCCAAUAUUUAAUUAACCAAGAAUAUCAAGUCUAUAGGGUAUUAUUAAGGUGAGACUUCUGUAGCCUUUUCAAUAAAGACCAGAAUUUUGGAGUGCCUUGAACCUUAAUCAUUGAUCUUUAAUUCUUAUUAAGUCAACUGCCCACCUUUUAAAGACUGAGGCCCAGGAAGAGUAAGUUUCUCUGAGACAAUGCAUACAGUACAGUGCUUCUUGGGUAUUGGCUCUAAGACCAGAUGCAAAGAAAGGCUAAAAUCCCAUUUCAUUGUUCAUUAGGUGAGAACCCUUUGUUAAGCUGUGUAACCUCUGUGCAUAGUUUCCUCAUCAGCAAAGUCAGAAAAAGUAUGUACCUGAAGGACUGAUUGUAAGGCUGGGAUGAGAGAAUCCAUGUGAUCAGCCCUCACCAACAGGUGCUGCCCAGUUCAUGAGUGCUGCUGCUGUCCUGCCCAAGUACCCAGCUUGCAGAGUGCCAGAGUUAGAGUCCCAGGGGUGUUCUCCACAGCUGCAUGCUUGAUCCAGGCCUAUCAGAUAUAUUCCAUUGAAAGUCCUCAUUCUCAAAUUUAAAACAAAGACUUUUUGUGUACCUCAAUAGCAAUGCACACACAGUUGGCUUCACAAACAUAUUGUACAUUUCUUUUUUUCAUAUUUAUUCAACAAAUGUAUAUUGACUACCCACCGUGUGACAGGUGUUAUUUGUUGACGGAACCAGGCAUCAUCAGCAAACAAAACUGACAAAGCUUCCUGCCCUCUGUGGAAGGCAUCUGAGGAAGAGACUGGAUUUUGUAGCAACAUGUUAUUCUCAUUAUAAACUUUAUCAUUGGAAUACUAAAGCCAAAUCAUCCCCCAUCUCCUUGAUCAGGAUACCCACUUAAUCUAGGCAGCUACACAAUUGUGAGAGCCUUUGUUUUUUUCUGCUGAAACAUCCUUAAAAAGAUACCUCACAACCCAAGAUUUGGCUUUUCUUAAAUACGAUUUUUAAUUUUUUUCAUUUCUAUCUAGAGAUUUAAUUGGAAAUGGAAAAUCAUCAAUUUUCCAAUUAAAUGUCUGUUCCAAUCAACAUUAUACCUUUUAGGUUGUCAUUGUCAUUUUUAAGUUUAAGCAACUUUAAGGAUUUUGAAUCUGGCUGCCUGUAAAUUAAAGGUGAAAGUAAUCA
rnacentral:lncRNA from 1 species